CAUGUAAGCAUCACAAAGCAGUCUUCGUGCACAGCCUUGGAUUUUCCUGGAAUCCAGUGAGUGCAAUUCUUCUAGAGACAUCUUCAGGUAUCCAACUGAGGUGAAAUUCAGAAUUCACAAGUCAGCAGCUGCCAUGAAAUCAAUGUGCUAAGGAAAUCGUUGCUGAAAUCUAAACUACACAUACAAAAAUGUAAGAGAAAGUGAAGAGUGAACGAGAGGUUACCAUCCCGAUCCGCCAUG